AUCUCCCGCCCCGCACAACCCGGGCAGGGCCGCCGCUCCGCCGCCGCCGCAGAUCCGGCUCUCACCCUCGGCUCCCGAGGCCCCGCGGCGCCUCCUUCUGCGGACUCUGCGGGACCCUCCCCGGCAGGCGCUGUGCCCUGGAGAAGGCACAGUGGCUCAGGCAUGGCCGCGGGGACGGCGGCGCGGAAGGCAGCGCCGGUGCUGGAGGCCCCCCCGCAGCAGGAGCAGCUCUCUCAUACAAAGCUUUCUGCAGAAGACACAUGGAAGUUGAGGGCUUUUUCAGAUGACCUCAUUUUGCUGGUUCCAGCCUGCAGCAGGAGAGGAUGUACAAGAUGCACCGGGGCCACGAUUCCAUGCACGUGGAAAUGAUCUUGAUCUUCCUCUGCGUUCUGGUCAUUGCCCAGAUAGUGCUGGUUCAGUGGAGACAGAGGCAUGGCCGAUCCUACAAUGUGAGUCAUCCCCGUGGCUGCUGGGAGCCUGCUCCAGCUUGUAUCAGCUUGACUGUUUUUUUCCAGGACAUGUUCUCCCUUGGUUAGCACUUUGAAGGAACUGCCUUGG
rnacentral:lncRNA from 1 species